rnacentral:misc_RNA from 1 species
GAUGAAGAACGUAGCGAAAUGCGAUAAGUAAUGUGAAUUGCAGAAUUCAGUGAAUCAUCGAAUCUUUGAACGCACAUUGCGCCCGCCAGCACUCUGGCGGGCAUGCCUGUUCGAGCGUCAUUUCAACCAUCAAGCCCCCAGGGGCUUGUGCUGGGGCCCUGCGGCUGCCCGCAGGCCCUGAAAACCAGUGGCGGGCUCGCUAGUCACACCGAGCGCAGUAGCACAUCUCGCUCAGGGCGUGCGGCUGGCUCCUGCCGUGAAACCCCCCACUGUAACCCCAAAGGUUGACCUCGGAUCAGGUAGGAAUACCCGCUGAACUUAAGCAUAUCAAUAAGCGGAGGA